AGUUGAGAGCAAACAAAGAAAUUCUUCAAAGAGUUCGAUUCAAGUUGCAGUAAAUGAAUUUGACAAUCUGAUCGGUGUCGGUAUUAUUAUACACGCUAUUUUUCCGCCAGUCGUUUGAGAACACAUAAUUGGAUUAAAGAUCGUACUGCUGGUGGUUCACCUAGGUUUAACCUAUGCACUUACCGUUCGUACAUCUACACGUACGAGUAGAAUAGUUGAUUAUACUGUAUAGGAUAAACGUCGAGUUUACACAGUAAAGAUAAAUAAACUUUUCAACAUAUGAAGGAAGAUAUCG